rnacentral:rRNA from 1 species
AUUGAACGCUGGCGGCAUGCUUUACACAUGCAAGUCGAACGGCAACAGGUCUUCGGAUGCUGACGAGUGGCGAACGGGUGAGUAAUACAUCGGAACGUGCCUAGUAGUGGGGGAUAACUACUCGAAAGAGUGGCUAAUACCGCAUGAGAUCUACGGAUGAAAGCAGGGGAUCGCAAGACCUUGUGCUACUAGAGCGGCCGAUGGCAGAUUAGGUAGUUGGUGGGAUAAAAGCUUCCCAAGCCGACGAUCUGUAGCUGGUCUGAGAGGACGAUCAGCCACACUGGGGCUGAGACACGGCCCAGACUCCUACGGGAGGCAGCAGUGGGGAAUUUUGGACAAUGGGCGCAAGCCUGAUCCAGCAAUGCCGCGUGCAGGAUGAAGGCCUUCGGGUUGUAAACUGCUUUUGUACGGAACGAAAAGCCCUGGGUUAAUACCCUGGGGUCAUGACGGUACCGUAAGAAUAAGCACCGGCUAACUACGUGCCAGCCGCCGCGGUAACAC